UGGGGAAUUUUAGACAAUGGGGGCAACCCUGAUCCAGCAAUGCCGCGUGUGUGAAGAAGGCCUUCGGGUUGUAAAGCACUUUUGUCCGGGAAGAAAUCGCACCUGAUAAUACCGGGUGUGGAUGACGGUACCGGAAGAAUAAGGACCGGCUAACUACGUGCCAGCAGCCGCGGUAAUACGUAGGGUCCAAGCGUUAAUCGGAAUUACUGGGCGUAAAGCGUGCGCAGGCGGUUGUGCAAGACCGAUGUGAAAUCCCCGGGCUUAACCUGGGAAUUGCAUUGGUGACUGCACGGCUAGAGUGUGUCAGAGGGGGGUAGAAUUCCACGUGUAGCAGUGAAAUGCGUAGAGAUGUGGAGGAAUACCGAUGGCGAAGGCAGCCCCCUGGGAUAACACUGACGCUCAUGCACGAAAGCGUGGGGAGCAAACAGG
rnacentral:rRNA from 1 species